GGAGAAUUACUCAAGAGGCUGAAGAGGACGGUUUGCAAGAGGACGGUUUGCUAAAUCGUUAGGUCGGGUAACUGGCGCGGGGGUUCGAAUCCCCCAUUCUCCG
rnacentral:tRNA from 1 species